UUUGUUACAAAAAUCAUUCCAUAGUCUUUCAAAAAUAAUAUGAUGUAUUCAGUCCAGACAGUUAAACUGUAGGUCUUAAUAGUUUUCAUUGACUUUUUUCAACAGUAUGGCUGGGUGUAAUAAACUAUACCAAUCCGAGCCAAUUAUUGGACAUGAUUUUUUGGUUUACAUAAAUAAUAUAACAUAAAUUGAAUAUAUUGGAUCAUGUUAAACACCCUUCAUCUACAUGAAGCGUCAUCUAUAUUUGAUAUGUCACUACCAUUAUCUUCUAUCUUAUCAUCGAAACUAAUGCCAAUAAUAUCAAAUGAUGGGACAUUUGAAAUGUAGUCAUCAUUACAUAAACUGUCUUCGUAAGGGAUCAAGUAGGCAAACAAGUCAUCAACUUCCUCGUUCAAUAAUGGAGAUGAUGGGAAUGAAACCUCGUUCAAGUUCGGGAAAUGAACCGGUGAAAGGAUUUCUGACUACUAGAUUGAUCUACAACAUUAUCAUCUGAAUCAAUUACGAUGUUGAACAAAUUGGUAUUCAAGAAGGGAUAUGGUAAUACUCUACAAAUUUGUAUGUAAAUUGUUCUUUUAGAUGAAGUGUAGAAAUAUGUUAGAAGUUGGAGGCUCACGAUGAAAGACUAAACCUCAAAAUUGUUUCAAUGUAUUAUAGUACACAACUAUUUGCAAUUAUUGUGUUCCAUUUAUCAACUUUUUUUUUUUGGGGUCAAUUUCAUUAAUCAUACAUUCAUUUGGUGUGACCUUUUUAUCUACAUAUUUCAAUAAUUCGUUUUCUUUAAUUGAUAUCACAUUUCAAUAUGGCAUUAGUGGUAGUAUUGUUGAUCAUCUAACUUAUUUACAAACGUUUCCGUACAAAUGAUAUCUCGACUGUACAACCUGCUCAUAAUAAAAAUGUCUUUUCACCUAUGAAUAUGAACUAAAUGAACAUAAAACUAAGUUGUUCGACGUACACAUUAUGAUAUGAUUUCAAAAAUAAUACAACAAAUUAUAAGUCCAAAAGUAAUGCAUAAUUAACGAAAUUCUAUUACGUACUAUUCUUCCCUCUUUUCCGGCUACUCCUAAUGUAGGGAGUUCGAAAUCCAUCUACAACUCAAUUAACAUUAAAAAUUUCAAUUUUAGAGAAUGAUUUAACAUGCAAUGAAUUCAUACAACACAUAUUAAAGCAACUCAAACACAUUUUCAUUUUAUUGUGACUUUCAAGUAAUUCAUUCAAAUUGACGAGAAAUUCAGUAACCAUCUGUCGAGAAUAUUGAUAGAUUUUCUCGACAAAUGUUCCAUCUAUACUUUAAAGAAACUCUUCAGAUGCGAACAUGAAUCGAAUGUUUCGAUCCACAAUGACCAUAUAAUGAACUACAUUGCAAUAAAUUGAAUCAAUCAUAGAAUAGAUCUCAUUAUCAUUGAAUGAACCAAUGAAUGAAUCACAUUACUUAAGCUAUGAAUCAACAAAUUAAAACAAUAUAUCAAUCUAUAAAUUCAACUUACAUUGCUAAACCUAUAAUGGUCAUGUAUAUUCUAAUAAACUACAAUGGACAUUCAUAUUCUAAUAAACCAUAAAAUCAACCUACAUUCGAAGCACACCCUCAUAAAGUUUCAAUGAAAUCCUUUACAUUAACUCAAUAUAUGAGAAAAUAAACCACAAUUGACAUGUAUAAUCAUGCUACAUAUUCAGGCUCAAAUUCAGAUGGGCACGAAAUAUUAACUUGUUUAAACCACCAUUUAGGGUAUAUCUGAUUAUAAAUAUGAAAUUUAUAUGGAAAGAAAAUAAAUUUUAAGCAAUUAAAUUUCUUAGAACUUAGUUGUAUGAAAAUUGUCAAUUAAAUGUGUUUAAUUGAGUUAAUUUUCAACAUAAAAAAUGUUAUAUUUGUCCAUUUUUAUUGGUGGGUAGAUGAGAGAGAAAGAUAGAAUUACUUGAAAAUUAAAAACUUAUUCUCCUAUAGAAAAUAUUUUCCUUGUUUUUCAAGGAAAUUGUGAUUAUGUAAUUAAAAGUAGGAAAAUAUUUUUCAUGUAAAAAAUAUCAACAAAAUAGUACAAAAGUAAAAAUUUGGUGAAAAAUGACAUUUUUAAUUAAAAACAUUAGCAAUCAAACGCACCCUUAUUGGAAGGGUGUGUUAGGAAAAACAUAAAUAAAAUUUAUAUUUUAAAACAUGUGCAAAGUAUUGAUUUUUCACUUAAAAAAAUCAAUUUUUUGAUCGUUAUAUCACUAUUCAAAUUAUCAUUUUUUACUUCUUCUCUCACAGAUAAGACCUAAUUUUCUUUUCAACGAUCAAAAGAUCAAUUCUCAAAAUCAGUAUCAGACAAACCCUAUAUAAUAGAUGUGAAAAUGAAAGUACGAAAGGAGUAUUAUUAGCCCUCGUUUGGCCCCCCAUUAUUGGAGAUUAUAGUUAUUGGAAUAAUGUUUUUUAAAAAAAUGGGUUAAAAAAAAAAACAUUUUGAAUUUAUAUGUAAUAUCAUUUUAUUGGAGAAUGUGUGGUUGAUAAGAAAAGAAGGAAAAAUGAAUUAUAAUUUUAAUGGAAUCAAACAGUGAUAAUAAAACGGGAGUUUCAGGCUUUGGGAAAAUUGAAGCAGUGAUCUCUAACCUUUUCAAUUUUUGCAGAUUUUACCUUAACCUUCAAUUUGAACUAGCGAAAGUCUCAAACUUUUCAUAAAUAUGCACCUGAAGUCCAACUGAAUGGAAAUCAUCUAGAUGACCAAGAAAAGUGAACUUGAACCAAAUUAAAAUGGGUAAAAUAGUAACUUUGCUUAUUUUCAAAUAUUGACAAUUAAAAUAAUAAGACUAAAAACAAAAAAUAAAAUGAAAUAAAAUAAAAUAAAUCUACCCCCAUCCCACUCUCAAAUUCAAAACAUACCCAGAAAAAGGGAGGAAAUGAAAAUCCGCCCCCGAUCAGAAGUAGCUAAUUCGGCGUAAUAAAAUAGCAUUUAGCAACUUUUUAGCAAAACUCCAGAAAAAAUUUUCCUUUCGAAAUCAAAUCGAUGUCCAAAGCUUAGAAAAUCAGAGUAAAGACAAAUCAAUAAUUUAAGCUUGGUCGAAUUAAAUUAAGUUAAAAACUGAAACACGUUAAAUUCAUCUUAUUACCUUGCCGGCUACAAAUUGGAGUGUAUUUGUAGGAAGGUGCAAGAUCUCACAAAAAUAAAGCUAUGACUAAAUUCCUAAAAAAUGAAGCUGUGGUAGCAAGAGGAGAUCAAAAGUUGAAAAUCAAAAUUGAUAAAGAAAAAAAUCGAAAGAAAUUGAUGCUCAAACUCUGAAUUCUUUGUGCCAACUUAAGUCAAGUUUGGAUUUAACAUUUUCACAGUAAUUAAUUGGACAUAUCUUUCAGUAAGAAUUUUUAUUUUUCUUUUUCUUUUGGGAAUUUUCUUUUGUUUCUUUCAUUUUAAAGGAGUGUGAAUAUGGCUUUACAAUGAUUCAUUUGGGAAUGGGUUUUAAAGAUUUGAAAGGUAAUUUUGAAGAUGGUAGAUGGUUUACGUGUGUUGAGUAUGAAGAGAAAAUGAAAUGCCACUUGGAUAAAACAGGUCAGCAACCCCACCUCAAGCCAUGUCAACAGCAAAACAUUCUAGAAGAUGAGAGACCCAGCAAGUUGCAUAAG
rnacentral:lncRNA from 1 species